GACGAACGCUGGCGGCGUGCUUAACACAUGCAAGUCGAACGGAAAGGCCCUGCUUUUGUGGGGUGCUCGAGUGGCGAACGGGUGAGUAACACGUGAGUAACCUGCCCUUGACUUUGGGAUAACUUCAGGAAACUGGGGCUAAUACCGGAUAGGAGCUCCUGCUGCAUGGUGGGGGUUGGAAAGUUUCGGCGGUUGGGGAUGGACUCGCGGCUUAUCAGCUUGUUGGUGGGGUAGUGGCUUACCAAGGCUUUGACGGGUAGCCGGCCUGAGAGGGUGACCGGCCACAUUGGGACUGAGAUACGGCCCAGACUCCUACGGGAGGCAGCAGUGGGGAAUAUUGCACAAUGGGCGGAAGCCUGAUGCAGCAACGCCGCGUGCGGGAUGACGGCCUUCGGGUUGUAAACCGCUUUCGCCUGUGACGAAGCGUGAGUGACGGUAAUGGGUAAAGAAGCACCGGCUAACUACGUGCCAGCAGCCGCGGUGAUACGUAGGGUGCGAGCGUUGUCCGGAUUUAUUGGGCGUAAAGGGCUCGUAGGUGGUUGAUCGCGUCGGAAGUGUAAUCUUGGGGCUUAACCCUGAGCGUGCUUUCGAUACGGGUUGACUUGAGGAAGGUAGGGGAGAAUGGAAUUCCUGGUGGAGCGGUGGAAUGCGCAGGUAUCAGGAGGAACACCAGUGGCGAAGGCGGUUCUCUGGGCCUUUCCUGACGCUGAGGAGCGAAAGCGUGGGGAGCGAACAGGCUUAGAUACCCUGGUAGUCCACGCUGUAAACGGUGGGUACUAGGUGUGGGGUCCAUUCCACGGGUUCCGUGCCGUAGCUAACGCUUUAAGUACCCCGCCUGGGGAGUACGGCCGCAAGGCUAAAACUCAAAGGAAUUGACGGGGCCCCGCACAAGCGGCGGAGCAUGCGGAUUAAUUCGAUGCAACGCGUAGAACCUUACCUGGGUUUGACAUGGAUCGGGAGCGCUCAGAGAUGGGUGUGCCUCUUUUGGGGUCGGUUCACAGGUGGUGCAUGGCUGUCGUCAGCUCGUGUCGUGAGAUGUUGGGUUAAGUCCCGCAACGAGCGCAACCCUUGUUCACUGUUGCCAGCACGUUAUGGUGGGGACUCAGUGGAGACCGCCGGGGUCAACUCGGAGGAAGGUGGGGAUGACGUCAAGUCAUCAUGCCCCUUAUGUCCAGGGCUUCACGCAUGCUACAAUGGCUGGUACAGAGAGUGGCGAGCCUGUGAGGGUGAGCGAAUCUCGGAAAGCCGGUCUCAGUUCGGAUUGGGGUCUGCAACUCGACCUCAUGAAGUCGGAGUCGCUAGUAAUCGCAGAUCAGCAACGCUGCGGUGAAUACGUUCCCGGG
rnacentral:rRNA from 1 species